UGGGGAAUAUUGCACAAUGGGCGCAAGCCUGAUGCAGCGACGCCGCGUGAGGGAUGAAGGCCUUCGGGUUGUAAACCUCUUUCGUCAGGGAACAAGGCAUUGCCUUUUUGGUGGUGUUGAGGGUACCUGGAUAAGAAGCGCCGGCUAACUACGUGCCAGCAGCCGCGGUAAUACGUAGGGCGCAAGCGUUGUCCGGAAUUAUUGGGCGUAAAGAGCUCGUAGGCGGCUGGUCGCGUCUGUCGUGAAAACUUCCGGCUCAACCGGGGGCUUGCGGUGGGUACGGGCCGGCUAGAGUGCGGUAGGGGUAACUGGAACUCCUGGUGUAGCGGUGGAAUGCGCAGAUAUCAGGAAGAACACCGAUGGCGAAGGCAGGUUACUGGGCCGUUACUGACGCUGAGGAGCGAAAGCGUGGGGAGCGAACAGGAUUAGAUACCCUGGUAGUCCACGCUGUAAACGUUGGGCACUAGGUGUGAGGCUCCUUUCCGGGGGUUUUGCGCCGUAGCUAACGCAUUAAGUGCCCCGCCUGGGGAGUACGGCCGCAAGGCUA
rnacentral:rRNA from 1 species